CCCCCCGUCUUCCCUCGAAGGCGGUACGCCACCCUACCCCCCACUUCGCCCUAUACGGCACAACCCCUUCCUAUGACCACCUUCGCGUGUUCGGCUGUGCCUGCUACCCUAACACUUCCGCUACCGCUCCACAUAAGCUUUCUCCUCGCUCCACCC